UAGAGCAGCUGGAGCGCUUCACUAUGGACCAGCACGGCCGCUGCGCUCUCUGACCGAUCGUCUUCACUCUCGUUUUGCUUGGACAACUCUCCAAACACACAGGUUAUGCCACCCCACAGGCCGACUGGAAAUCCAGCCGUGAAAGAGAAGGGCUGAUCCCGGACCCCCCCGUGUUCCCGCAGCUGUGCCCCUCCUUGUCCCCAUGGCGACAGGAGGCAAUGCCCCCGAGACAGAUGUGUUGAUCAACCUGCAUCAGGUUUUGUCGGAAGAAGAGAAGGGCUCCACAGCAGGAGAAGAAGAUGAGGAAUGGGAGAAGGCCUUGUCUGUGGAGAGGUUUGGGGACAUCAUCACUGAGUCUGCCAUCAAUGGAGCAGACAAAAUGGGCCGCAGCUACAAUGAGAAAG